AUUGAACGCUGGCGGCAUGCUUUACACAUGCAAGUCGAACGGUAACAGGCCGCAAGGUGCUGACGAGUGGCGAACGGGUGAGUAAUGCAUCGGAACGUGCCCAGUCGUGGGGGAUAACUACUCGCAAGAGUAGCUAAUACCGCAUACGAUCUAUGGAUGACAGCGGGGGACCGUAAGGCCUCGCGCGAUUGGAGCGGCCGAUGUCAGAUUAGGUGGUUGGUGGGGUAAAGGCUCACCAAGCCAACGAUCUGUAGCUGGUCUGAGAGGACGACCAGCCACACUGGGACUGAGACACGGCCCAGACUCCUACGGGAGGCAGCAGUGGGGAAUGUUGGACAAUGGGCGCAAGCCUGAUCCAGCAAUGCCGCGUGCAGGAAGAAGGCCUUCGGGUUGUAAACUGCUUUUGUACGGAACGAAACGGCUCUGGUUAAUACCCGGGGCUAAUGACGGUACCGUAAGAAUAAGCACCGGCUAACUACGUG
rnacentral:rRNA from 1 species